CGUACACUCCUGCGGGAGGCAGCAGUGGGGAAUAUUGGACAAUGGGCGCAAGCCUGAUCCAGCCAUGCCGCGUGAGUGAUGAAGGCCCUAGGGUUGUAAAGCUCUUUCACCGGUGAAGAUAAUGACGGUAACCGGAGAAGAAGCCCCGGCUAACUUCGUGCCAGCAGCCGCGGUAAUACGAAGGGGGCUAGCGUUGUUCGGAUUUACUGGGCGUAAAGCGCACGUAGGCGGACUAUUAAGUCAGGGGUGAAAUCCCGGGGCUCAACCCCGGAACUGCCUUUGAUACUGGUAGUCUUGAGUUCGAGAGAGGUGAGUGGAAUUCCGAGUGUAGAGGUGAAAUUCGUAGAUAUUCGGAGGAACACCAGUGGCGAAGGCGGCUCACUGGCUCGAUACUGACGCUGAGGUGCGAAAGCGUGGGGAGCAAACAGGAUUAGAUACCCCGGUAGUCCCA
rnacentral:rRNA from 1 species